GGGCGAAAAGCUCGGGGACUGGGGAAUUAGCUCAAGUGGCAGAGCGCUCGCUGAGCAUGUGAGAGGCAGUGGGAUCUGUGCCCGAAUUCUCCACGGCUGCAUUUUACGAGAGGUCACCUGCCGCGGUCACUUUAUCCGAGCAGGUGGCAGCCCCGGAAAUGGACUCUAGAUGUGGAGUUGCUGAAUGUCCGUAACUGUGCUCCCCACCGCCUCGAGGGCGGGGAGACACACGCACAGAACGGGGCGGCGGGGACCCUUUUAUGUUCGGGAAAGAUUGAGUCAUCUUCCAGAACCAUGAUCUGGCCCAUUUCCCCGCCAGGAACCCUCCAGGUCCCGGACUUCAGGAUCCCUGCCCCAAACUGCCUGAGACAUGGAGGAUUGCCCACUUCAUACCCUUGCAGCUAACCUGCCCUAUUCUACAGUGGACUCGAAGCCUCUCCGCAUCCCAUGAAAAUCAGCGGGCAAAAGCUAGAAGAACCUGAGCAAUUGACUUAGGUGCGCUGGAGCUGCCUGCCAGGAAUAGCCACUGUCACUCACACCUGAGAUCCCUACCGGGGCCGCUCCCAGGCCUGGGUGGAUCCGCCCCACACCGCCUAAGAAGCAGCAAGUGACAAUAAGGGAUGGCUGUGUCCUUUCCACUCAUUCUGUCAGCAGAGGAUUUGCCAGUGUCUGCGUCAAGCUCCUCCGUUCCAGACUCAGACGGGUCACAGAGAUGUGUGCACUGUCAUUAAAUGAGAUGACACACCUCACCCAAGGUUAUGUGUGGUCUGUCUCCUGAUUAGACCCGGACUCAUACAAUCCACCUGCAGCCAGCAGCAAAGGAAGGAGACUGGACCCCUGUCUCACCCAGUCCAUCGAAUAUGCCAGAAGGAUGGAAGAUUUAAAUAUAAAACACAAAAUCAUGAAGACAUUAAGAUAGAGAACAGGGAAAAGAACUUUAUGCCUUAAUAUACCUCUACCUACCUACUUACCUACCUACCUGCCUGCCUGCCUGCCUGCCUACCUACCUACCUACCUACCUGCCUGACUGCAUACCUACCUACCUACCUACCUGCCUGCCUACCUACCUGCCUGCCUGCCUGCCUGCCUGCCUGCCUACCUGUCUUCCUACCUACACAAACAUGCCCAAUCCAUUA